rnacentral:rRNA from 1 species
AUGGUCAUCAAGCUGGACUUCAGAAAAGCUUUUGACUCCAUUUCUUGGUCCUCUCUAACAUCGAUCCUACAAGCGAGAGGUUUCCCUCCUAUCUUCUGUGCAUGGGUCCAAAACAUUCUCCACACUGGCAAAACGGCUAUUCUCCCCAACGGCACUCCGGGAUCCUGGAUCCAAUGUAGAGCUGGCCUUCGACAAGGUGAUCCCUUUUCGCCG